GGAAUCUUGGACAAUGGGCGCAAGCCUGAUCCAGCCAUUCCGCGUGCAGGAUGAAUGCCUUCGGGUUGUAAACUGCUUUUGUACGGAACGAAACGGCCUUUUCUAAUACAAGAGGCUAAUGACGGUAACGUAAGAAUAAGCACCGGCAAACUACGUGCCAGCAGCCGCGGUAAUACGUAGGGUGCAAGCGUUAAUCGGAAUUACUGGGCGUAAAGCGUGCGCAGGCGGUUAUGUAAGACAGUUGUGAAAUCCCCGGGCUCAACCUGGGAACUGCAUCUGUGACUGCAUAGCUAGAGUACGGCAGAGGGGGAUGGAAUUCCGCGUGUAGCAGUGAAAUGCGUAGAUAUGCGGAGGAACACCGAUGGCGAAGGCAAUCCCCUGGGCCUGUACUGACGCUCAUGCACGAAAGCGUGGGGAGCAAACA
rnacentral:rRNA from 1 species